rnacentral:rRNA from 1 species
GAUGAACGCUGGCGGCGUGCCUAAUACAUGCGAGUCGAGCGAACAGACGAGGAGCUUGCUCCUCUGACGUUAGCGGCGGACGGGUGAGUAACACGUGGAUAACCUACCUAUAAGACUGGGAUAACUUCGGGAAACCGGAGCUAAUACCGGAUAAUAUAUUGAACCGCAUGGUUCAAUAGUGAAAGACGGUUUUGCUGUCACUUAUAGAUGGAUCCGCGCCGCAUUAGCUAGUUGGUAAGGUAACGGCUUACCAAGGCAACGAUGCGUAGCCGACCUGAGAGGGUGAUCGGCCACACUGGAACUGAGACACGGUCCAGACUCCUACGGGAGGCAGCAGUAGGGAAUCUUCCGCAAUGGGCGAAAGCCUGACGGAGCAACGCCGCGUGAGUGAUGAAGGUCUUCGGAUCGUAAAACUCUGUUAUUAGGGAAGAACAUAUGUGUAAGUAACUGUGCACAUCUUGACGGUACCUAAUCAGAAAGCCACGGCUAACUACGUG